rnacentral:rRNA from 1 species
AUACGGAGGGUGCGAGCGUUAAUCGGAAUUACUGGGCGUAAAGGGUGCGUAGGCGGCUUGAUAAGUCGGAUGUGAAAGCCCCGGGCUUAACCUGGGAAUUGCAUUCGAUACUGUCAGGCUAGAGUAUGUCAGAGGUUGGCGGAAUUCCUGGUGUAGCGGUGAAAUGCGUAGAUAUCAGGAGGAAAACCAGUGGCGAAGGAGGCUAACUGGGGCAAUACUGACGCUGAGGCACGAAAGCGUGGGGAGCAAACAGGAUUAGAUACCCUAGUAGUCC